CAUCAAUUAUUUUUCAUUAAUUUCCAAUUUUAACAAAAUUUCAGGCAAGGAUUCUUUGCUGCGGCCAGUUUCAUGGCCUACCAACAGUGUCGAUUCAACUUUGGGUUUUAACGACUUCGGUAGGCUCACCGUAGAAGAGAAGCAGAUAUUGCCAAAAAGGAUGUACAUGGCGCAGAUAAGAAAUUCCACGGUUCAAGAAAAUAUCUGUACCAUAGAGCCAUGUAAACACAAAGGAACUUGCUCUGUGAUCCUAUCUUGAACGUGAGGAAAGAGGAGGCCUGACAUUCGGCAGACUUGGUCGAUGAAGCCAGGGCGCUGCCUGUAUUCUUUCCGGAUAUACCCUGGCGAGUUAUGGUUGGCUGACAUACGUGGAUUCCCCCCCAGUCCAGGCCGGGUGCAAUGACUGUGAGGUGUAAUUAUGAAGUACCUCAUCCAGGAGAUCUCACUGCACGCCAAGUUUCUAACGGAAUGGGUCCAGGAAUGAAGCACGUUUAUCAGUUUCAAGGGAGUGGCGCCCGGAACGACACACCUGUAGAGAUAAACGAACUCGAUGAUGAAGAGUCGAUUUCAACGAUUUCGGAGCCUUCUGCUUCCCUCCUAGGUGAGGAAUACACUGUCUCUGAUUCAGAGUCGUCCGACGAGAUGGAGCUCGCAGAACUUCUCGAACAACUCGACCCUACUAAUAAUUCCGGUAAUUUUGAAGGAUAUUUAGUAGAAUUUCGUUAUUUGCCAUCGAUGACCUGUUG